GUCCACGCCCUAAACGAUGGGCACUAAGUGUCGGAGGUAUUGAGCCCUCCGGUGCCGCAGCUAACGCAUUAAGUGCCCCGCCUGGGGAGUACGGCCGCAAGGUUGAAACUCAAAGGAAUUGACGGGGGCCCGCACAAGCGGUGGAGCAUGUGGUUCAAUUCGACGCAACGCGAAGAACCUUACCUGGGCUUGACAUGCUGGUAGUAGAAACCCGAAAGGGCAACGAGCCCCGCAAGGGGAAGCCAGCACAGGUGCUGCAUGGCUGUCGU
rnacentral:rRNA from 1 species